rnacentral:rRNA from 1 species
AUUGAACGCUGGCGGCAGGCCUAACACAUGCAAGUCGAGCGGAAGAAGGGAGCUUGCUCCUGGAUUCAGCGGCGGACGGGUGAGUAAUGCCUAGGAAUCUGCCUGGUAGUGGGGGAUAACGUCCGGAAACGGGCGCUAAUACCGCAUACGUCCUGAGGGAGAAAGUGGGGGAUCUUCGGACCUCACGCUAUCAGAUGAGCCUAGGUCGGAUUAGCUAGUUGGUGGGGUAAAGGCCUACCAAGGCGACGAUCCGUAACUGGUCUGAGAGGAUGAUCAGUCACACUGGAACUGAGACACGGUCCAGACUCCUACGGGAGGCAGCAGUGGGGAAUAUUGGACAAUGGGCGAAAGCCUGAUCCAGCCAUGCCGCGUGUGUGAAGAAGGUCUUCGGAUUGUAAAGCACUUUAGGUUGGGAGGAAGGGCAGUAAGUUAAUACCUUGCUGUUUUGACGUUACCAAAAGAAUAAGCACCGGCUAACUUCGUG